GUGCUCCCUUCAGGAGCACAUACACUAAUGCUGGAACUGUACAGAGAAGAUGAGCGUGGCCUCUGUGCAAGGAUGACAUGCAAAUUCGUGAAGCGUUCCAUGUUUAA
ensembl:snRNA U6 U6 spliceosomal RNA